CUUUCGCAACUUAAUAGUUAUUAUUUUAGAUCGAGAAAUGUGCAAUCAUUUUUGCGAGGAGUCGAGGUAAACUAUACGUUUUAACCGUAUAUUUGUAGAACAAGAAACUACUAUUAUUUUCGGCGGGAUAAACCCAGCGAGAACGGAGCGGGGGAUUUCCAAUUAUGAAUAACAAUGCUGUCAUUAAAAUGGGCGUUGCUGACGUCGAGGCUCUCUUCGACGCAAAUUUUAUGUAAGUAGAGUAAGCGCUUUAAUUGUAAUAAUAAACUUCAAAUCACUAUUUCCGCUGUAAAUAAAAACACCCUACAUUUUGUUUGUUGUUUUUUCCCUGCCCACUCCUGUUCUGGUUAUAGGGAACCUACCUCCGAUAUGGAAUUAUAGGUAAGAAUGAGGGUCCUCGCACCUGUCUCCUGAAAUUACAAUUUCCUACCCUAGUCGCAUCAAUCUAAUAGAGGGAGUCGGAUGAAAAUAUACCUCUAUAUGCAUUACGACGCCAAUAGAUGGCGCCUCCGUAUCAAAUCGCUAUUUCAGCUCUAAAUAAAAACGCUCUACAUUUUGUUUUUGUUGUUUUAUUUCCCUCCCCGCCCCUGUUCUGGUUGUAGGUUAGAAUGGGGCCCCCUUGUGUAUGUCUCUCAAAUGGGGGAGCUACCUCCGAGAUGGAAUGAUAGGUUAGAAUUCUCCUCCCUUGCAUCUCUCUCCUGAACCACUGGAUAGUUCACAUGUUUGCUAUUGUACAAAUGUAUACACGGCCGACUUUAUUCGUAAAUUUCUAACGCAAGAAGUCAAAAUUGCAGUUUCCUAUACGUUAGAUGCGUAUCAUUUUGACGCCACCAAAUAGCCCCUAGCCCCUAUCGGGUUUUUUCCCUGCCCACUCCUGUUCUAGUUAUAGGGAACCUACCUCCGAGAUGGAAUUAUAGGUUAGAAUGAGGGUCCUCGCACCUGUCUCCUGAAAUUACAAUUUCCUACCCUAUACCUAUAUGUCACAUCAAUCUAAUAGAGGGAGUCGAUUGAAAAUAUACCUCUAUAUGCAUUACGACGCCAAUAGAUGGCACCUCCGUACCAUUUAAUAUAUCUAUGAUUUAAUAAUAUUUAGAGGUUCGUUAUAAAUACAACUAUCGAAGCAUUAUAUCAUACAAGUCUAGUUAGCCUAGUGGUUAUGCUAUAGGACUUGUAAUCCGAUGGUUGGCGGUUCGAAUCCGUUCCAUUUAAAAAAAUUUUCAGGAGGUUCGAUAUAAAUACAACUAUCCAAGCAUUAUAUCAUACAAGUCUAAUUAGCUCAGUGGUUAUGCUAUAGGACUUGUAAUCCAAUGGUUGGCGGUUCGAAUCCGUUCCAUUUAA